rnacentral:rRNA from 1 species
GAUGAACGCUGGCGGCGUGCCUAAUACAUGCAAGUCGAGCGAACAGACGAGGAGCUUGCUCCUCUGACGUUAGCGGCGGACGGGUGAGUAACACGUGGAUAACCUACCUAUAAGACUGGGAUAACUUCGGGAAACCGGAGCUAAUACCGGAUAAUAUAUUGCACCGCAUGGUUCAAUAGUGAAAGACGGUUUUGCUGUCACUUAUAGAUGGAUCCGCGCCGCAUUAGCUAGUUGGUAGGGUAACGGCUUACCAAGGCAACGAUGCGUAGCCGACCUGAGAGGGUGAUCGGCCACCCGGGAACUGAGACACGGUCCAGACUCCUACGGGAGGCAGCAGUAGGGAAUCUUCCGCAAUGGGCGAAAGCCUGACGGAGCAACGCCGCGUGAGUGAUGAGGGUGUUCGGAUCGUAAAACUCUGUUAUUAGGGAAGAACAAAUGUGUAAGUAACUAUGCACGUCUUGACGGUACCUAAUCAGAAAGCCACGGCUAACUACGUG